UUUUGGUCUGGCGGCAUCCGGGGCGAAUGUCAGCAAGUUUGUCGAGUCGUAGAGUUGACAAAAAGGCGACGUUAAAAUGCAACAAGGAAACAUUAGCUAGAGAGCCUCUCUAACACUAUCACCAGCGAGCUCGUGUACCGUAGCUUAAUGUGGGACCCGGGGAGACUUUCACCUCUUUCGGUGUGGUUAAAACCUGCUGGAUGAGACCGGGUCGGGCCUCGGUCCUCCUCCUUCUUGGAGUGUGAAGGGUGCUCGGGCCUCGGAGGCAGAUGGAUGGCGGCAUGAAGAACGAUUGGGCGUCACCGUGGCGGCGACAGAUAGCCAAGGCGCGCCGACGCAAAGAGAUCGGUCUCGAUCUGACUCUAUUUGUCACCAUCGAACUUCGGGAGGAGGUGUGACGAGCUCGGGACCGUCGUCCACCCUCACCACUGCAGAGAAGAAAAAGGAAAAGAUGUCAGACUCCAGCUCGCACGACUAAUUUGUGCUGCAGCCAGUGGAGAGAAAAAAGCAGCAGCGUGAAGCACAACCAUCACAGUGAGAGUUUUGCUGCUCGAGAGCUGACUAGAACUGCAAGAGCGCAGCGCAGGGAUACUUACUGUGGCAGACCGAGUCGCUGACAGGCGUGCAGUGGGCCAGCUGGAUCUCGGUCUCGUCGUCGCAGAUGGUACAGGGCAGGCAGGGGUCCAGUGAGCUGUCGCGGUCUGAGAAGGGUGUGUAUUGGGGUGCACCAACUCUGUCUGGAUGUUAAAGGAGUUUGGAGAAACCCGGGACAAAGUACUAAAGAACUCACUGGAUAUCUUCCUGAAGAACUGUCACAGCACAGCUGGUUGGCAACGCGGCCACGCCAAUUCCGCCAGCUGCCGAGCGCCUGCUUCACUGUCAUUCAAAAAGUCUUCCAACGAUCACGCCGUCAAGUUUUUAUUUGCAGAGGACUGCCAAACUUGAGUAAGUCCACUGCAGCAUCAAGAGGAGGAGGAGGAGGAGGAGGAGGAGG